GCAGUAUCCUAACUGUGCUAAGGUAGCAUAAUCAUUAGUCUUUUAAUUGGAGACUGGUAUGAAUGGCUAAACGAGAAAUAGACUUUUUUUGUUAUAAAAAUCGAAUUUAAUUUUUUAGUGAAAAAGCUAAAAUUAUUCAGAAAGACGAGAAGACCCUAUAGAGUUUUAUGUUUUACAACUACUUUUCUUAUUUGAUUUUCUUAGAUUAAUAGUUUACAAGCAUUUUGUUGGGGCGACAUUAAGAUAUUUAAAACUCUUUAUUUUAAAAAUUUUUAUGGAAAGUUAGUUUGAUCCUUUUAAAAAGAUCAAAAGAAAAAAUUACCUUAGGGAUAACAGCGUAAUCUUUUUUGAGAGUUCUAAUCGACAAAAAGGUUUGCGACCUCGAUGUUGGACUAAAAUUUAGGCAGGGUGCAGCAGUUCUGCUUUUAGGUCUGUUCGACCUAUA
rnacentral:rRNA from 1 species